UUCCUACGGGGGGCAGCAGUGGGGAAUAUUGCACAAUGGGGGAAACCCUGAUGCAGCGGCGCCGCGUGAGCGAAGAAGUAUUUCGGUAUGUAAAGCUCUUUCAGCAGGGAAGACAAAAGGACGGUACCUGCAGAAGAAGCCACGGCUAACUACGUGCCAGCAGCCGCGGUAAUACGUAGGUGGCAAGCGUUAUCCGGAAUUACUGGGUGUAAAGGGUGUGUAGGCGGGGCUGCAAGUCAGAUGUGAAAAUUAUGGGCUCAACCCAUAACCUGCGUCUGAAACUGUAG
rnacentral:rRNA from 1 species